rnacentral:rRNA from 1 species
GCAACCCAAGCUUUGGCAGGAUUACGUAUUGAGUAUAUUCAUAUUAAUAAGCAUAGGAAAAGAAACUUUUAAGGAUUCUCUUACUAAUGACGAGCGAAUUAGAAAUAGCCUAGCCUUAGAAUCCGGCGUCUCCAUCAUUCUAAUUAUAGUCUGGAGAAGCAUCCUCAGCGACUGACUGGACGCAAGUCCCCUGGAGGGAGCGACAGAGAGGUUGAGAGCCCCGCUCUUCCCAGACCCUAUUGCACCAUGAGGCGUUGUCUACGAGUCUAGUGGUUUGGGUAUACAACCCAAAUCGGGUGGUGAAUUUCGACCAAGGAUAAAUAUGAGCAAGAGACUAAAGCAAAUAAGUACUGUAAGGGAAAGAUGAAAAUGACUUUGAAAAGAGAGUCAAAUAGUGCUUGAAAUUAUUAAGAGAAAAGUGAAUAGGGGUUUGAGAUGUACCCCAGUUGAAUAUGGAACCACGAUAAGUCGGUCCGCAGAUCGACUUAGGGCAUGGACCAACGUGGAUUGGUGAGGCGACAAAAGCCCGGGCUCUCGAUACACUCAUGGAACCUCCUUAAUUAUGGCAGGUAAUGCUCAUCUUUAUCGUGCGUCGGUAUUUGCAUACUCCAGAUGAUGUCCUGUGGGCUUCUCAUUCGACCCAUCUUGAAACAUGGACCAAGUAUUCUGACAUAUGUGUGAGUCAACAGGCGAGUAAUCCCUUAAGUCUAUGGAAGCUAAUUAGUAGUAUCCCCGUGAGGGGUGAACCACCGACCGACCUCGAUCUUUAGAGAAUGGUUGGAGUGUGAUCAUACCUAUCAGGACCUAAAACAUGAUGAACUGUGCCUGAGCAAGGCAAAGCCAAAGGAAACUUUGGUGGAGGCCUGCAGUGAUACUGGCGUGCAAAUUGUUCGUCUUACUUGGGUAUAGGGGCAAAAUACUAAUUAAACCAUAUAGAAGUAGGUUCCCUCUGAAGUUUCCCCUAGGAUAGCUAGAGCUCAGGUACGAUUUUUAUCGGGUAAAGACAUUGAUUAGAGGCCUCGAAGGCACAAUGCCCUCAACCUGUUUUCAAACAUUAAAUAGGAAUGACUGAGUGGCUGCAUUGAUGAGCCACUCUACUGAAUCAAGAGCUCCAAGUUGGCCAUUUUUGGUAAGCGGAACUGGCGAUGUGGGAUGAACCAAAAUCUGGGUUAUGGUACAAAACUGUGCUUAAUUAGAUCCUAUAAAGGGUGUUGGCCGAUUAAGACAAUAGGAUGGUGGUCAUGGAAGUUAAAAUCCACUAUGAAGUGUGUAAAAAUUCACCUGCCGAAUCAACUAGCCUAAUAAAUAUAUCAUGCCUAAGCACACAAUAUACACCUAGCCAUCGGGGCAAGUACCAGUCCUCGAGGAGUAGAAGGGUGUGGUUGUCGUUCCAAAAACCAUGGGCACGAUCCAGGAUACCAGUGUCCUUUGGUGCAUUUCUUGGUGGUAGUAGGAAAUAUUCAAAUGAGAACUUUGAAGGCCAAAAAGUAAUAAGGUUCUAUGUGAACAGCACUUGCUGAUGGGUUAAUUGAUCCUAAGGGUCGGGGAAACCCCGACAGAUAGAAUAUUUCAUGCGUACUUUGAAAAUGAAUUGGGUUAAAAUUCUUAAACCAGGACAUGGCGGUCGAUAGAAAUGUUAGGAAGUUUAAAGACAUUGGUUAGAGCCUUGAGAAGAGUUAUCUUUUCAAUUUAUCAUCCUGCCCACCCUAGAAUCAGCACAUCUGGAGGUAGGGUCUUGCAGCUGGAAGAGCACCGCACAUUACGUGGUGUUCAAUGUUCUCCCGGAGACCCUGGAAAAUUUGUAGAACAAAAUUCCAUCCACGCCAAUUCGUACUCAUAAUCGCAUCAGGUCUCUAAGGUUAACAACCUCUGGUCAAUAGAAUAAUGUAGGCAAGAGAAGUUGGCCAAAUAGAUACGUAACUUUGGGAAAAUGAUUGGCUCAAAGGGUUGUGCAUAGGGGUUCCCAGUUCCAAACCCAUUGUCUGUUGGUGGACUACUCGAGUUGUUCCCGCAGCAAGAGUGGGUCACCGCAUGCCGGUCAGGGGACGAACUAUUAGCGGUUUCUUAGAAGGCCUUCCCCAUGCGUCGAACAACCAACUCAAAACUGGUACGGACAAGGGGAAUCUGACUGUUUAAUUAAAACAAAGAAUUGUGAUGGUCCCAAUGGAUGUUCACACACAGUGAUUUCUACCCAGUUCUCUGAAUGUCAAAGUGAAGAAAUUAAACCAAGCAUGGGUAAAUAGAGGUAGUAACUAUGACUCUCUUAAGGUAGACAAAUACCUCAUCAUCUAAUCAGUGAUAAGCUUGUAUGGAUUAACGAGAUUCCCACUGUCCCUGUCUACUCUCCCGCGAAAGUACAACCAAGGGAAUAGGAUUGGCAGAAUUAGCGAGGAAACAAGACCCUGUUGAGCUUGACUCUAGUCUGACGUUGUGAAAUGACUUGAGAGGAGUAGUAUAAGUGGGUGAUGAAAGGGAAAAGUAAAAUACCACUACUUAUAACGUUAUUUUACUUAUUCCAUGAAUCAAAAGUGGGGAACUGCCCCUCUUUUCUGACCCAAGGAUUGCUCUGCAUGCUAAUCCGGGUAGAAGACAUUGUCAGGUGGGGAGUUUGGCUGAGGCGGCACAUCUGCUAAAAUAUAAUGCAGGUGUCCUAAGAUGAGCUUAACAAUAACAAAAUAUCAUGUAGAAUAGAAGGUUAAAAGCUCAUUUGAUUCUGAUUUCUAGUACGAAUACGAACUAUGAAAAUAUGGCCAAACGAUUCUUUAGACCUUCAUAAUUCGAAGCUUGAAGUGUUAAAAAUGUUACUAAAGGUAUAACUGGAUUUUUGAAUCAAAGAAUUCACAGCGACAUUACUUUUUGUUCUUUUGAUGUUGGCUCUUCCUUUCAUUGUGGAUCAGAAUUUACCAAGUGUUGGAUUGUUCACCAACCUAUAGGGAAGGUGAUCUGGGUUUAGACCGUCGUGAGAUAGGUUAGUUUUAACCUAUUAAUGAUAGUUUCUCAAUAUUAAUCCAACCUAGUAUGAGAGGAACUAUGGAUUCACAUAAUUGGUCAUCAUGCUUCGUUAAAAUGCUAGUGGUGUGAAGCUACCGUGUGCUGGAUUAUAAAUGAACGCCUCUAAUUCAGAAUCAAGGCAAGAAGCAACACAUGCGCCCUUCUUCUGCUUGACAAAACGCAGCAGAGGCCUCAGACCCUAAUGGUAUGUGUCAUUGGAUAAGUACAAUUUUUAUCGAGCGGUGAGUAGAAUCUUUUGCAGAUGACUUAAAUACCCGACCAGGUGUUAUAAGUAGCGGAGUGGCCUUUCUGUCACAAUCCACAGAGAUUAAGCCCU